AUUGAACGCUGGCGGCAGGCCUAACACAUGCAAGUCGAACGAGUGGCGGACGGGUGAGUAAUGCCUGGGACACUGCCCGAUGGAGGGGGAUAACUAAGGGAAACUGUCGCUAAUACCGCGUACAAUAGGUGGAGCCCAAUGGGGAUUGGGUAGUUGGUGGGGUAAAGGCUCACCAAGACGACGAUCUCUAGCUGGUCUGAGCGGAUGACCAGCCCCACGGGGACUGAGACACGGUCCAGCCUCCGACGGGAGGCAGCAGUGGGGAAUAUUGCGCAAUGGGCGCAAGCCUGAUGCAGCCAUCCCGCGUGUAUGAAGAAGGCUUUCGGGUUGUAAAGUACUUUCGGCGGGGAGGCGUUACCUGCAGAAGAAGCACCGGCUAACUCCGUGCCAGCAGCCGCGGUAAUAC
rnacentral:rRNA from 1 species